rnacentral:rRNA from 1 species
UUGACCUCAAAUCGGGUGAGACUACCCGCUGAACUUAAGCAUAUCAAUAAGCGGAGGAAAAGAAACUAACAAGGAUUCCCCUAGUAACUGCGAGUGAAGCGGGAAAAGCUCAAAUUUAAAAUCUGGCGGUCUUUGGCCGUCCGAGUUGUAAUUUAGAGAAGCGUCUUCCGCGCCGGACCGUGCACAAGUCUCCUGGAAUGGAGCGUCAUA